CAGCCGCCACGGUAAUACGUAGGGUGCGAGCGUUAAUCGGAAUUACUGGGCGUAAAGCGUGCGCAGGCGGUUCGUUAAGACAGAUGUGAAAUCUCCGGGCUUAACCUGGGAACUGCAUUUGUGACUGGCGAGCUAGAGUAUGGCAGAGGGGGGUAGAAUUCCACGUGUAGCAGUGAAAUGCGUAGAGAUGUGGAGGAAUACCGAUGGCGAAGGCAGCCCCCUGGGCCAAUACUGACGCUCAUGCACGAAAGCGUGGGGAGCAAACAGGAUUAGAUACCCCCGUAGUCCCUGUCUCUUAUAC
rnacentral:rRNA from 1 species